rnacentral:rRNA from 1 species
UACGAAGGGGGCUAGCGUUGCUCGGAAUCACUGGGCGUAAGGCGCACGUAGGCGGCUUUCUAAGUCAGGGGUGAAAUCCUGGAGCUCAACUCCAGAACUGCCUUUGAUACUGGAGAGCUAGAGUCCGGAAGAGGUGAGUGGAACUGCGAGUGUAGAGGUGAAAUUCGUAGAUAUUCGCAAGAACACCAGUGGCGAAGGCGGCUCACUGGUCCGGUACUGACGCUGAGGUGCGAAAGCGUGGGGAGCAAACAGG